UGGGGAAUUUUGGACAAUGGGCGCAAGCCUGAUCCAGCCAUGCCGCGUGAGUGAAGAAGGCCUUCGGGUUGUAAAGCUCUUUCGGUGGGGAAGAAAGUGCGCGAUUAAAUAGAUUGCGUAGAUGACGGUACCCGCAAAAGAAGCACCGGCUAACUACGUGCCAGCAGCCGCGGUAAUACGUAGGGUGCGAGCGUUAAUCGGAAUUACUGGGCGUAAAGCGUGCGCAGGCGGUUUUGUAAGUCAGAUGUGAAAUCCCUGGGCUCAACCUAGGAACUGCAUUUGAGACUGCAAGGCUAGAGGAAAGCAGAGGGGGGUAGAAUUCCACGUGUAGCAGUGAAAUGCGUAGAGAUGUGGAGGAAUACCGAUGGCGAAGGCAGCCCCCUGGGUUUUUACUGACGCUCAUGCACGAAAGCGUGGGGAGCAAACAGG
rnacentral:rRNA from 1 species